rnacentral:rRNA from 1 species
AAUAGAUACCCGGGUAGUCCACGCCGUAAACGAUGGAUGCUAGCUAUUGGGGGGAAUCGACCCCCGUCCGAAGCGAAGCUAACGCGUUAAGCAUCCCGCCUGAGUAGUACGAGCGCAAGCUUAAAACUCAAAGGAAUUGACGGGGACCCGCACAAGCGGUGGAGCGUGUGGUUUAAUUCGAUGGUAAACGAAGAACCUUACCAAGGUUUGACAUCCCGGUAGCCGUUCUCCGAAAGGAGAAUUUCAUUUAGUUGGACCGGUGACAGGUGAUGCAUGGCCGUCGUCAGCUCGUGUCGUGAGAUGUUGGGUUAAGUCCCGCAACGAGCGCAACCCUUAUGAUUUAGUUGGUAUUUUUCUAAACAGACUGCCCUGGUAACAGGGAGGAAGGAGGGGAUGAUGUCAGGUCAGUAUUUCCCUUACACCUUGGGCGACACACGCGCUACAAUGGCCGGUACAAUGGGCAGCUAAGCCGCGAGGUGGAGCAAAUCCCAUCAAAGCCGGUCCCAGUUCGGAUUGCAGGCUGAAACCCGCCUGCAUGAAGUCGGAAUCGCUAGUAACC